rnacentral:rRNA from 1 species
UACGAAGGGGGCGAGCGUUGUUCGGAUUUACUGGGCGUAAAGGGCGCGCAGGCGGCUCAUUUUGUCAGGCGUGAAAGCCCCGGGCUUAACCUGGGAACUGCGUUUGAUACGGAUGGGCUAGAGUUCGGGAGAGGAGAGUGGAAUUCCCAGUGUAGAGGUGAAAUUCGUAGAUAUUGGGAAGAACACCGGCGGCGAAGGCGGCUCACUGGCUCAUUACUGACGCUCAGGCGCGAUAGCGUGGGGAUCAAACAGG